UAAAUGGUAUUUAAAAUGAGAAAGAAAAGACAAAAUAGUUUUACAUCAUUUUUAACAAAAAAAAAUCAAACCAAAUGAUGUUCAUGUUGAAAAUUCACAGCUGUUAAUAACUGCACAAGUUUAGCAAGAAAUGCAUCCACUUACAUCCAUGCGUUGAACAGACUGAGUAAAUCACUGAGAUUCCAUCAAUCAGAUGGUACGUAAUAAAAUUGGUACAGUCGAUAGUAUUUUCAAUAAGAAAACAAAUCCACAUCGCAACCACCGAGAAACUGAACAACUUGCAGUCCUUCAAUUUCUCGACUUCAAUUGAAUAACUGAUACUCCACCAGAUCAUUCAGUCACCAAUAUCUUCAAUCAACACUUGUUU
rnacentral:misc_RNA from 1 species